rnacentral:rRNA from 1 species
AAGAACGCUGGCAGCGUGCAUAACACAUGCAAGUCGAACGGUAGUAUUAUCUUCGGAUAAUAUGAGAGUGGCGAACGGGUGAGUAACACGUAAGAAUCUACCUUUAGGACGGGGAUAACUUCUGGAAACGGAUGCUAAUACCCGAUAUGCUGUGGAGUGAAAUGAAUUUCGCCUAAAGAUGAUCUUGCGUCUGAUUAGCUAGAUAGGGUGGUAAUGGCGCCCUAUGGCGACGAUCAGUAGCUGGUCUGAGAGGAUGGACAGCCACAUUGGGACUGAGACACGGCCCAAACUCCUACGAGAGGCAGCAGUGGGGAAUUUUCCGCAAUGGGCGAAAGCCUGACGGAGCGACGCUGCGUGAAGGAUGACGGCCUGAGGGUUGUAAAUUUCUUUUCUCGAAGAAGAAUCAAUGACGGUAUUCGAGGAAUAAGCAUCGGCUAACUCUGUGCCAGCAGCCGCGGUAAGACAGAGGAUGCAAGUGUUAUUCGGAUUGAUUGGGCGUAAAGCGUCUGUAGGCGGUUUAGAAAGUCUUUUGUGAAAUACUUCAGCUCAACUGGGGCUCCGCAAAAGAAACUUCUAGACUUGAGGGAAGUA